rnacentral:lncRNA from 1 species
CUGGUUUGCAGAGGUGUUCAAACAGAGUUCAGAGAGUGACAGCUGAGAUAGUCGUCUUUGUACCACGCACAAUGCGUGUAGCCAUUUGGCAACUUAUCUCUUGCCGCACCUAUAACAGUGUUUCCUUUCUAUUUCAGUCAGGUAAGGUAGAAAUAACCAUAACAACCAUGAUGGUGUCAUUCACUGAGCCAUUAUUAUUUUUUACAGGCAACAUUUCAUGGUUCCAGGGAGUCUUGUAAACAAUGGAAUGAAGGCCAAAGUAUACUUAGCUCCUUUUUAAACCAUGCUUAAAUGGUCUGCCUUUAUUUUAAAUGGGAAACAACCCUAGGGCCCCAAUCUAGGAUGUGCUUCCAAUCUGGUAUAGGAGCUCCAUGCCAGUUUCCUGCCAAAAAUUGCCCCCUCUUGGGUGCUCUUUGCACUCGAAAGUGCUGUUUCCUGUGAGUAACACCAGGGGGGCACGGGGGGGGGGGGACACAUAGCAACUGUGGAACAAUUAGCACAUUGUUCCUUUCAAGUCAGGGCUACACAGCUGCUUUUUCUUCAGAUAAAAGUGACUGAUUUAAGCAUGCUGUUUCAAAAAGUGUAAAUAAUGUUAGGGUGUGGUUUGGCUCUGAGUGUUUCAUGAUCAUUCACUGCUGUCAUGUCAUCUGUGCACAUUUAACAGCAAGAGGUGCCUGCCCUGACGAGCUUACCAUCUAAAUUUCAGUAACACAGAAGAACUAAUAACUGAAUUAUUUCAGUAAUGCAGAAGAGCAAGGGGAGAAGCCUAGACAACAGGGAGUGUGUAUAAUUCCUAUGGCACACACUUAAUAUUUGGGUCCCUCCAGACUUACUUUUUAUUGGGCAUUGAUGAUCAUGAUGUUCUUAGAGUGGUUAUAAGCUUUCAAUACAGUUUGUGCCUGCAAAAGUUUUUUAGGGGGGAUAUACUGCUUGGUUUCCCAUUGGUGCAUAUCCCAUAGGUUCCUGCUAAAAUCCUGUAGAUUUUUAUACCACAAAUCUUCCGGGGGUGUGCAUGUGUCUUCCUUUGUUACACGGUACUGGAAAACUGCACCUACAGAUGACAAUCAUGCAAUAACAUUGAGGAAGCAUGAGCAGAUGACUAAUAAAGUGGAAUGACAUGUCGAUGGCCCAGUAUAAAUUCACCACCACAUCCGUUACCAUUGCAUCAAUGACAUGUUUUAGAAUAUACCCCACUCCCAGUCACCUGGAGAACAGAAGUCUGGAAUGGCGCUUUGUUUUGAUUUGCACUAAGGAGGAAGGGCAAUGACAAACCUAGACAGCAUCUUAAAAAGCAGAGACAUCACCUUGCCAACAAAGGUCCGUAUGUAAAAGCUAUGGUUUUCCCAGUAGUGAUGUAUGGAAGUGAGAGCUGGACCAUAAAGAAGGCUGAUUGCCGAAGAAUUGAUGCUUUUGAAUGAUGGUGCUGGAGGAGACUCUUGAGAGUCCCAUGGACUGCAAGAAGAUCAAACCUAUCCAUUCUUAAGGAAAUCAGCCCUGAGUGCUCACUGGAAGGACAGAUCCUGAAGCUGAGGCUCCAAUACUUUGGCCACCUCAUGAGAAGAGAAGACUCCUGGAAAAGACCCUGAUGUUGGGAAAGAUGGAGGGCACAAGGAGAAGGGGACGACAGAGGACAAGAUGGUUGGAUAGUGUUCUCAAAGCUACCAGCAUGAGUUUGACCAAUCUGCGGGAGGCAGUGGAAGACAGGAGUGCCUGGCGUGCUCUGGUCCAUGGGGUCACGAAGAGUUGGACACGACUAAACGACUAAACAACAACAAAGGAGGAAGGAGUUAAACCAAAUAUUUCAUUUCCAACAACUACAUUCUGAUUAGCAACCGGAGUCACUUCAGGCAAGUAAUGUGAUUAUGAAUGAACCAUUUGCACAUCAGAAAGUUGUGGCAGUGUGGAAGCAAGAACUCCUGAGGAUCACAGUCUGCUGUAGCAACUCACAGUCAAACCAUUUUUAAAGCCCA